CUAGUCUUGCGGGCCGGAUUUGACAGGUGGAUGGGACAACCCACCUGUCAAUCACCUGAUGUCACAAUGAGGAGUGUUUUGAAGACCUGAAGUCGGGACUCCAAAGAGCCUUGUGUGGUGCUUUAAAGAGCCUGAGAAAUGGGCUUUACCACCCAUCAGCUGAGCUUUACUUUAAGGCUCCUGAAUGCCCAUUGGCAGCUGUGUCUCUGUCUGCCCUGUACUUGACUUCAGAUAGGAAGGUGGACAUGGGUUGUGGAAAAUACCCUUGUGGGCUGAGUGUUGCCCAUGAGGGGCCAGAGGUUCCUCAUCCUUGACAUGGAUACUACCAAAUCGAGAUCAAAUCCAACAUUCCCAUCUUCAUUUCCUUUGGUUGGGUUCUUUUAAACCUCUACCCGCAUUCCCCAAAACUAAUAAUAAUUGAUUUUCCCACUCCUUUCUUGGAAGUCAGAUCUCCAGUUUAUCCACUGUACAUAAAAGGUAAUUACUUCAUGAUCCAGAUGGGAAAGGGGGGAUAUUUUACUCAUAGAUUUCUAUAAGAAAUGGAUUCUUGCAAGAACAUUAAUGGAUGCCCCAUUUUGCCACCAGCCGCUGUGAUGAUGCUCCUCUGUGGGCAUCUUACUAGACAGUGCUGGAUUUUCUGAAUCUACUCUAACACUGUCUGGUAACGAUGUUUAAAGGGUGAGCCAAACUGCUGCAGUCAUCAGACGGCUUCCAUGACCAAGAGCAAAGAGGUAAGUCUGGGUGGAACUGACAUCUGGUGCCAGUGGGCAGCAAGUUCAGGUAGAUGCUUGGGCCCCACUGUUGGCAGGAAAGGUAUAGGGAAAACUUGGUCAAAACCAAAUCAACCAUGUAGCCUUUAUAUUCUUCUUGGCUUUUGCUAGAAUUGUGGUGUAACUUAAAAGCAGCACUCCUAUGGAAGGAUGGUGGAACAGCCCUCUAGAUACCCCAAGGAGUGGAAGGUUGUGUGUUCCCUGUCCCUUUGCAUAUCCUACCCAUUUCCCCCUUUGCUAGUUAAAAGAAGUGUACUUUUCUCCAGGGAAUUCCCUAAAUUCUGAAGGGAGCCCUCAGUCAGCACAAAGUAAAGGGACUUUAAAGUGCCUAAAAGGAGAUAAUCAUUUUAUUCAUGCAAGAAAGUUGGGAUGUGCAUGCUAUUAAUAAUAGAGAUUACUGGAAUGGUGGUUUCGCCCAGUUUAUCCUGUCUUUCUCAAAGCGGGGAAUAAAUCUUGCUUCCCGCGUUGUGUUUCAAGAAGCUGGACAGACUUGUAGGAGGUGGUGCAAGUGAGUUAGUAGCCCAGUGAGUCAUCUUGGGUCACACCCAAUUAGGCCCCUCCAGAAACUUGGCUCUUGUUCAGCAGUUCCACCUGCCUUCUUCCAGGAAUCAUGAAGAUGCCGUCCCUGCAUCUUUAGAGUUAUAUCAGCACUCCUUCAGCUACAACCUUAGAUAAACUGCAUCCCCUCAUUUGACUCAGGAGCAACCUUUCCCCAGCAUUCUCCUUUCUUGGGAGAUGAUUUAUUUGAGAGCUUAGAAACAGUGAAUAGGUUUAUGCCACACCCAGCGGUAGACUUAAGAAUGGUUGCUUGUUGGCAGGACUUGUUUUGGCAAGCAGGAGCAGCAAUCGCAGGAAGCUAAGCCACCCCAUCACUCAAGUAUACCAUGACAGCAGCAUUAUUCAGACUCUGGGCUACUUCAGCUUUGCAUGUAUCUCUGGAUCUUCUCGUGUGUGUGUGUGUGUUAAGCCCCAUAAGUCUCCCACAAUGCACUCCAAACAUACAAGAGGAUCUUUCAUUGCUUACACUGUCAUGCUGGAGACUGACAAGGAGAGCGUGGCUGAUGGAUCAGGCCUAAGGCCCAUCUGGUUCAGCAUCCUGUUCUUCACAGUGGCCAGUCAGACGACUCGAGGAAGCCCACAGUCAGCACAUGGAGGUAACCACCCUCCCUCUUUGUUACUCAUAAGAACAUGAGAAGGGGCAGUCUGAGGUCCGUGUCAGCCAAGGUGCAAGCAGGGACUUGAGCAGAGCAGCAAAAUGGGGUGCAAAAUUCAGGUGCAAAAUUAAGGUGAAUUUUGUAGCAGGAAAUCCGUAAGUAGGACUUGGCCAAGAGAUCUGAUUCCCCAGAUUGGAAAAAUCUGGGGCCGGUUAUUGAUGUGAGGCAGUCCAUGGCAGUGGUGCUGCUGGGGAGUGCUCUUGCACAUGAAAAUGAAGAGGAGGUGCGCAACAUCAUUUCCAUGCGCUGUGAAGCAUGGUCAACAGAAAGUUAUCAGUUACGUGGGAGAGUCUCCUUCAUCUCAAGCCUUAUUGAAACGAAUGAGGGCCAGGCAAGUUGUCCAGUAGCCAACAGCUCUUCCUUCCCCACACCGUACAAUCCAGGCUUCUGGUCCUGGUGCUUUCCUCAGCUUGGUGCCUUCCAGAUGUUUUGGGUGGCUGCUGCGAGUCGUAGUCUGAAAACAUCUGGGGGGUUCCUGGUUCAGGAAGGCUAUUCUGUCCUACAAAUCAAUAUUGCCCAUGCAUCACUGUUCUGAAGCUUGAAACGCUGCUCCCACAAUAGACAUAUGAAGCACAUUAGUUCCCCACAAGAAUCCCAGGAGCUGUUGUUUACCCCAUCACAGAACUACAAUCCCAUCCUCUUUAACAUACUACAGUUCCCAGGAUUCUUGUUGGGAAGCCGUGUGCUUUAAAUGUGCUCUAAAUGGGUGGUGCGGAUGCAGCCAGAGACUCUCCUUCACCCAAGGAAACAGCCUUCCACGCAUCAGCGUGGAAAACGGGCAUUACAUUCAGAUUAACAGCCAAAACUCUUGGACAAAACUUUCUGAGAAGAGGCUCUGUGUGCGCCUCUGUUUGAAUGAUGAUUUCAGGCCCACUCAACCGACGGUCGGUGCCGUUCCAGAGUUUUGGAGAGACUUUCGGAAACAGCAGCUGCUUGGAAUAGAAGAGCGAUUUAUUUUUGUCUCCGCGCUAGUGGGUUUGCACUCGAUGGCUGGCUGGUUUUCCUUCUUCCUUCUUCUGAGGAUUUAUUACUCAUGGCAAACGCUAAGUAGCCAAAGGAGAAGAGCGGGGAGGGAGGGAGGCAAGGGGGAACCGGACCUGCCGUUGAGAUGCCUUGUUACUGAUUAACUGCUCGCAAAACAGUUGAGGAAAUGGUGUGAAAUGUGGAUUGACCCUGCAAAUUGACUUUUGUCGGAACAAGAGUUCUAAAGCAGACCAAUAUUAUUAUUUUCACCUUCUAAGGAAGCCCCAGCACAUAAAAAAAGAAGACUCCCAAAUGAUUUGUAUGAAUCAAGAGGCACACUUGAGUCAAAUUUUCUCCCGUAACACUAUAACUCACGGACAUCCAAUGAAGCUGGUUGUUGGGCAAUUCGGGACAGAUAAACUGAAAUCUUUCUUCGUGUCGCUCAUAGUUAAACUAUGGAACUCACUUCCACUGGAAGCAGUGAUGGCCACCUACUUGGAUGGCUUUAAAAGUGGAUUGCACAAUUUUUUGGAGGAAGGGGCUAUCGGUGACUACAAAACCACAGGAGGGAAUAGUUCUCUUUUGCUUGAAUCCUGUUUGCCAGUUUCCCACAGGUCAGUCACUGUGGGGACAGGAUGCUGGACUAGAUGGGCCUUUGGCCUGAUCCAGCAGUCUCUUCUUGCAUUCUUACAUUUACUCCUGCUUGCAAAGCAGAGUUGUAGAAUUCUAACUCAAUUUUUUGUGCUCCAAAAUUCAUGUAUGCAUGUGUGGUAUGCAAGUUUACCUAAGGUGCCUGGAUGUCUAGUUUGUUCCUUCUCCAUCUGCCGUUGACAACUCUUGCCUUCCCACAGGGCCGAUGGCGUGCCGAUCGCUGUCUUACCAGACAAAGUUAGAUCUUAGCUAUCCCUGUCUAAUACUGUCUGGUAAUGCCGUCGAUGGCACUGGCAAAGUCUUCGCCGUGAAAGAAAGAGGAAGACAGGUCUGUUUUAGGCGGGCAGCUCUGGGGUGUGUGCCAGAGGUUGUUCCAUCGGGUGCCUGGGUGUGUUUGAAGUGCCCGUUUGAGUCUAUGGGCCCAAAGUCCACCUUUAUCGCUCUCAUGUCAGCCCCAUAAAGUCUUAAAGAGAGGAAUAAAACCCUUGAUAAGAGAGAGGUUGUACAGGUGAACAGCCUCGCAUGUCCCUAUCACCCAAGCUUGCCUUUGCUGAUAGGAGGUGGUUCUUCACCUCCAGCAUACACAAUAUUUAGCUGUGUCAACAGCAACACAGAGGCCUCUUCCUGUUUUCCUAGACUGUAAAGCUGAAAUGAGACACUUACGGAGACGAUCUGGCUGCUGCCGUAAGCGGAAGAGCUGUGGUUUGUUGACAGAGCACCUGCUUUGCAUGUAGAAGGUCGUAGGUUCAAUCCCUGGCAUCUCCACAUAGGGCUGGGAAUGUCCCCUCUCUGAAACCCUGGAGAGCUGCUGCCAGUCGGUGUAGACAAUGCUGCUGUAGAUGGAUCAAUCAAUCACCUGGCUAAAUUUUAGACAGCUUCAUCUUGUCUAAGUAGUACCCAGCUGCCUGUCACUACUCCUACAAAGGUGUAACUGCAUGUACCACAUCCCUUGCUUACCCUUCCUUGCCUUUGUACCCAUAUGGACUAGAAACUUGCACCGUUGUUGUCUUAAUUAAAAGAUGAGAUUCUCAAGAAGCUUAAUUCUACUUCCAAUGCAAUAUUAAGCACUUUUUGUUUUAUUUUUUGCGUGCCUGUGGUGUCACAAACCACUGAGCCACAGUGCCUGCUUUGCAUGGAAAAUUAGCCAGGCUCAAUCUUUGGCAUCUCCAGUCAAAAGGACUGCAUUUCUUUGGUCUUUAAGGUGGCAUCUUAAAGCAACUGUUUGUUGCUUUGAUUUGCAUGCAUUUGCAUGGCCUGACAAAAGAAGGAAAAGAGAUCAGUGCUGGGCUCAGCCAUUCUGUUGCUUAAUGCUACAGUAACUUUCCUGUGUCUCCAUUAAUUUUGUGUUGUCUGUAUGAAGUUCUCCUCCAAAUCAUUGCCUUCCUACCAUCUCCCUUCCCUCAGCUUGCAUUCUUUUUACACCAGGGCUAUUCCAGAAAAAGAGAGGGCAUGAGAAAAUCCAGACCGAGGUAGGGAAAGUGUGGUUUGGAGAACAUCAUAUGGACAACAGAUAAUUAAUAGAGGCAUGGGAAGAUUAAUUCUUUAAGCUGUAGUUCCUGCAUGGAAAGGGGUUGGGCUGGAUGACCCAUUGGGUCCCUUCCAACCCUACAAUUGGAUGAGCCUUGAAUCUAGCCUAGCCUUCUCCAAGCAUAGCUACUUAUACUGAAGAACAGAAAAGCAGGAAGGAGUUAGCCAAAUGGUAAGAAUUGCCGGCUAAAUAAUGCUGCUUUUCUCACUUCAGAAUGUGAAUUUCCCAAGUGUGAAAAUGUUAAUUGUUUACUUUCGUGAAGACACACACACACACACAGCCCUGACUUGGAGCUGUGAAAAAGUUGCAUGCAUGAAUAUUUACUCUGGAAAACCUAAGCGGCAGCAUCCCUUGCCGCCACCCACUCCACACACCUUGCCGUGCAACUAGCACAUGGCCCAGGAGGCAAAUCUUUCUAACCUUCCUCCACAUAGGAACGGAACUGAACAGACAUUAAACAAAGAGAUCUCUAUGGACAGUUUUGGGAGAACAAAGGGUGUCCUGUGCUCCCUUCUCUGGUCAAACAAAACUAACUCCCAAGAGUGAAUUUGGGACCAUUUCCCCAACUGACAAGGGCCCCCCUUCCAUUCAAUGAAUGAUUUCUUUGACCAGGGGUGGGGUGCCGCCAACCCAGUUGACCAGACUGGCUGGUAGGCCCCCCUCUGAUGUAGCCCAUGUGAGCACACACUAGGUCAUUAAAAAAAGAGAGAAAAGCUAACUCUAAUAGGCAAGAGAUAGGCAGGGGUUUCUCAGGGAUGUUGAUUCAAGUAGGCAGGUUGACUUGUGAGCUAAUCUCUCUUUCUGUCUGCCUGUCUGUCUCGCUGGACCCCCAGGUACUGUUCUCUUCCCCACCAGAUGCUUCCAGGCUCCACCCAUACCAAACCAAACUCUACGCCCUGAUCUGCCAGGCCAGGCAUCAACUUUUAGUUCCCAGACUCCACCCCCAAAAAAAGUCUCAGAGUCUAAGGAGGCUCUGCAAACCCUGCUAGGGACAUCCAGAAUCUCCGAGAUGUGGACCUACCCCUCCAUGUCCCUCUUCAGAAAGGCCUACGAAAUGGAGGCAAUGUUACACCAUAGACUCCCCAAGCAAACCUAACCGUUUGUGCUCAGCUUCUUCCUUUUGUAGGAGAGAGAGGGGGAGUCUCACAUUCCUCUGGGUGGUUCCGAGCUCCCCGUUCCCCACUGCCUCCUCCAAGCGUCUUUGAAGUACGCAAGUGUGUUCUCCGAAUUGAAGCAAAUUGGCCAUCUUUUCUAACAUUUGCUCUCUGCUAAUUACCUUAAAGAACCUCCAAUGUCUCCGAGCGAAAUAUGUUCUCUGGUGAGAUGACUCACAAGAAUCUCUCUCUCUCUCUCUCUCCCUCUCUAUCCAGCCCAGCCAGUUUGGGAGGACGGGUGGGGUGUGUUUUAUGAAAUGCUCCAGAUUGUAAAGCGAGAUGGGGGGGGGGGAGAGAAGAGAGGGGGAAACGGCAGCUUUGCCUUCUCAAUUACCAUUAAUUACCGCAUUUCGUAUUGAUGGAUUGAAUAUUGUGCUGCCAAUAUUCCAGGCCCUGUUUUAUCACCAAACACCACAUGCCUGGGAGGGAGGUGCCUGCAUCCCAUCUGUUUUCUUCCUGGUUCCGCAAAUCAAAUGCGAUUCCGUUGACUUUGGGGGCUGCUCAUUUAUAUUCCUGAGCGUGCUGUAAACAUUGUUUGGGUUUCUUUCUCUUUUUCUUUUCAUUUCUGUAUAUAAAACACUCCUUAGCUGUACAAUUCAAAUAAAAUGUGACGUUCC